CCUACGGGAGGCAGCAGUGAGGAAUAUUGGUCAAUGGGCGCGAGCCUGAACCAGCCAAGUCGCGUGAGGGAGGACGGCCCUACGGUUUGUAAACCUCUUUUGCCGGGGAGCAACGGGCGCCACGUGUGGCGUCACUGAGAGUACCCGGAGAAAAAGCAUCGGCUAACUCCGUGCCAGCAGCCGCGGUAAUACGGGGGAUGCGAGCGUUCUCCGGUUUUAUUGGGUUGAAAGGAUGCGUAGGCGGAUCGUAAAGUCGGUGGGCAAGUUGAGGGGCUAAACCCCUUCCCGCCAUUGAAACUGGCGUUCUUGAGUGGAAGAGAGGAAGGCGGAAUGCGUGGUGUAGCGGUGAAAUGCAUAGAUAUCACGCAGAACCCCGAUGGCGAAGGCAGCAUGCCGGCUUCCGACUGACGCUGAGGCACGAAAGCGUGGGGAGCGAACAGGAUUAGAUACCCCUGUAGUC
rnacentral:rRNA from 1 species